UACGAAGGGGGCUAGCGUUGUUCGGAGUUACUGGGCGUAAAGGGCGCGUAGGCGGCGCACCAAGUCAGUGGUGAAAGCCCGGAGCUCAACUCCGGAACUGCCAUUGAAACUGUUUAGCUUGAGGAUGAGAGAGGUGAGUGGAAUUCCCAGUGUAGAGGUGAAAUUCGUAGAUAUUGGGAAGAACACCGGUGGCGAAGGCGGCUCACUGGCUCAUUACUGACGCUCGAGGCGCGAUAGCGUGGGGAUCAAACAGG
rnacentral:rRNA from 1 species